rnacentral:rRNA from 1 species
GAUGAACGCUGGCGGCGUGCCUAAUACAUGCAAGUCGAGCGAACGGACGAGAAGCUUGCUUCUCUGAUGUUAGCGGCGGACGGGUGAGUAACACGUGGAUAACCUACCUAUAAGACUGGGAUAACUUCGGGAAACCGGAGCUAAUACCGGAUAAUAUUUUGAACCGCAUGGUUCAAAAGUGAAAGACGGUCUUGCUGUCACUUAUAGAUGGAUCCGCGCUGCAUUAGCUAGUUGGUAAGGUAACGGCUUACCAAGGCAACGAUGCAUAGCCGACCUGAGAGGGUGAUCGGCCACACUGGAACUGAGACACGGUCCAGACUCCUACGGGAGGCAGCAGUAGGGAAUCUUCCGCAAUGGGCGAAAGCCUGACGGAGCAACGCCGCGUGAGUGAUGAAGGUCUUCGGAUCGUAAAACUCUGUUAUUAGGGAAGAACAUAUGUGUAAGUAACUGUGCACAUCUUGACGGUACCUAAUCAGAAAGCCACGGCUAACUACGUGCCAGCAGCCGCGGUAAUACGUAGGUGGCAAGCGUUAUCCGGAAUUAUUGGGCGUAAAGCGCGCGUAGGCGGUUUUUUAAGUCUGAUGUGAAAGCCCACGGCUCAACCCGGGGAGGGUCAUUGGAAACUGGAAAACUUGAGUGCAGAAGAGGAAAGUGGAAUUCCAUGUGUAGCGGUGAAAUGCGCAGAGAUAUGGAGGAACACCAGUGGCGAAGGCGACUUUCUGGUCUGUAACUGACGCUGAUGUGCGAAAGCGUGGGGAUCAAACAGGAUUAGAUACCCUGGUAGUCCACGCCGUAAACGAUGAGUGCUAAGUGUUAGGGGGUUUCCGCCCCUUAGUGCUGCAGCUAACGCAUUAAGCACUCCGCCUGGGGAGUACGACCGCAAGGUUGAAACUCAAAGGAAUUGACGGGGACCCGCACAAGCGGUGGAGCAUGUGGUUUAAUUCGAAGCAACGCGAAGAACCUUACCAAAUCUUGACAUCCUUUGACAACUCUAGAGAUAGAGCCUUCCCCUUCGGGGGACAAAGUGACAGGUGGUGCAUGGUUGUCGUCAGCUCGUGUCGUGAGAUGUUGGGUUAAGUCCCGCAACGAGCGCAACCCUUAAGCUUAGUUGCCAUCAUUAAGUUGGGCACUCUAAGUUGACUGCCGGUGACAAACCGGAGGAAGGUGGGGAUGACGUCAAAUCAUCAUGCCCCUUAUGAUUUGGGCUACACACGUGCUACAAUGGACAAUACAAAGGGCAGCGAAACCGCGAGGUCAAGCAAAUCCCAUAAAGUUGUUCUCAGUUCGGAUUGUAGUCUGCAACUCGACUACAUGAAGCUGGAAUCGCUAGUAAUCGUAGAUCAGCAUGCUACGGUGAAUACGUUCCCGGGUCU